rnacentral:ncRNA from 1 species
AAAGACUUAGUCCUAACCUUACCGUUAGUUAUAGCCAGAUACAUACAUGCAAGUAUCCGCACCCCAGUGUAAAUGCCCUUAGGCUCUUAUACUCAUUUAAGAUAAAGGAGCGGACAUCAGGCACGCCCCGCAGCCCAAGACGUCUUGCUUAGCCACACCCCCACGGGUACUCAGCAGUAGUUAACAUUAAGCAAUGAGUGAAAACUUGACUUAGUCAUGGUUAUCCCUAGGGCCGGUAAAUCUUGUGCCAGCCACCGCGGUCAGACAAGAGGCCCAAAUUAACUGUCAUACGGCGUAAAGAGUGGUAUGAUAUUAUCGAAGUAACUAAGAUCAAAAUUCAGCUAAGCCGUCAUAAGCUAAUGAUGCACCUAAGACUAUCUCUAAAGACGAUCUUAGUCCAUUCACGACGAACUAAACACCACGAAAGCUAGGACUCAAACUGGGAUUAGAUACCCCACUAUGCCUAGCCCUAAAUCUUGAUGCGCUACUCCUACCUAGCCAUCCGCCUGGGAACUACGAGCACAAACGCUUAAAACCCUAAGGACUUGGCGGUACCUCAAACCCACCUAGAGGAGCCUGUUCUAUAAUCGAUAACCCACGAUGCACCUGACCCCUUCUUGCCAAACAGCCUACAUACCGCCGUCUCCAGCUCGCCCUCCCUGAAGGUGCAACAGCGAGCACAAUAGCCUCAAACUUUCGCUAGUAAGACAGGUCAAGGUAUAGCUAAUGAAGGGGAAGAAAUGGGCUACAUUCUCUAAAAUAGAGAAAUCUUCUUAUUAAACGAAAGGGGGCGUGAAAUCUCCCCCGGAAGGCGGAUUUAGCAGUAAAAGGAGACAAGAAAGCUCCAUUUAAGCUGGCCCUGAGGCACGUACAUACCGCCCGUCACCCUCCUCAUAGGCUAUCAGAUUAAACUAUAACUAAUUCACCACCCAAGCCAAAGAUGAGGUAAGUCGUAACAAGGUAAGUGUA